AAGUAAUUUGCUGAGAAGAACUGGCUUGUUGAGUUGUAGGACAUAAGAAUCAUCUUGUUUCAGAGUUUCCCAACAUCAUUAGCAUACUCUGAAAAUUAGUACAAGGUUGAUAUUUCCAGCUGCCUGCGAGGUUCUGUUGUGCGAGACAUAUCCUGAAGAAGUGGUCAUUGUGCCAUCAUGGGCACUGCUCAUCCUAUAGAGCGCAGAAGGCUGGAGGAUCAGUCCCGGGCUUCCUCUGCCCUGUGUCCUGGAGCUGGGCUUUGGCGUGAUGCUGCUGUUCCUGCUGGUUUGCCUCGGGCAAUCGGCCUCACUGCUUCCCAGAGAGAGCCUUCUGCGGUCUGCACAUCCCAAACAAUCAGCAGUACUAUUUGCUUAUGGGAUUCCUCCCUGCAUAUCUCCCUGUACUGUUUGCUCACCCAAGCCAUUAACCCCUUGCUUUGCUGAGAAUCACAUGAGGGAACUGAACUCUUCAAAAUAAAUCUCUGAGACAAAAACA
rnacentral:lncRNA from 1 species